rnacentral:rRNA from 1 species
ACUACGGGAGGCAGCAGGGGGGAAUAUUGCACAAUGGGCGAAAGCCUGAUGCAGCAACGCAGCGUGAGGGAUGAAGGCCUUCGGGUUGUAAAGCUCUGUCCUCAAGGAAGAUAAUGAAGGUACUUGAGGAGGAAGCCCCGGCUAACUACGUGCCAGCAGCCGCGGUAAUAGGAAGGGGGCUAGCGUUAUCCGGAAUUACUGGGCGUAAAGGGUGCGGAGGUGGUUUCUUAAGUCAGAGGUGAAAGGCUACGGCCCAACCGUAGUAAGCCUUUGAAACUGGUGAACUUGAGUGCAGGAGAGGAGAGUGGAAUUCCUAGUGUAGCGGGGAAAUGCGUAGAUAUUAGGAGGAACACCAGUUGCGAAGGCGGCUCUCUGGACUGUAACUGACACUGAGGCACGAAAGCGUGGGGAGCAAACAGGAUUAGAUACCCUAGUAGUC